rnacentral:rRNA from 1 species
GACGUAGGGCGCGAGCGUUGUCCGGAAUUAUUGGGCGUAAAGAGCUCGUAGGCGGCUUGUUGCGUCGACUGUGAAAACCUGCGGCUCAACCGUGUGGUCUGCAGUCGAUACGGGCAGGCUCGAGUUUGGGAGAGGGAUGCGGAAUUCCAGGUGUAGCGGUGAAAUGCGUAGAUAUCUGGAGGAACACCGGUGGCGAAGGCGGCAUCCUGGACCAACACUGACGCUGAGGAGCGAAAGCCAGGGGAGCAAACGGG